rnacentral:rRNA from 1 species
AACGAACGCUGGCGGCAGGCCUAACACAUGCAAGUCGAGCGAGUCCUGCGGGCCUGGUCGUGCACUGGGGCGCAACCCGUGGGAACCUGCCCUUGGAUUUGGAAGAUCGUGCCGGAAGGCGUCCUGAUACGGGCGAAUGUCUCCCGUCCGAAGAUUGAGCGCCCUUGGAGGUGCUUCCGUUGGAUUAGCUAGUUAUGAGGGUAAAAGCCUACCAAGGCGAGGUGCGAUAGCUGGGAUGAGAGGCUGGGCAGCCACACUGGGACUGGGACACGGUCCAGAAUACUACGGGAGGCAGCAGUGGGUGAUACUGGAAAACGGGCGAAGGCAUGAUCCAGCUAUGACGCGUGAGUGCUGAAGGUCUUAGGGUUGUAAAGUUCUUUUACCCGGGAUGAUAAUGACGGUACCGGGAGAAUAAGCUCCGGCUAACUACGUG